UGUUAUCUGAGAUAACAUCUGCCAGCUCCUUCAGAACUCUGAUAUAUAAUUGGUUGGGUCCCAGCGAUUUAUAUUUGUCAAGGUUGGAUAGGUGUUCUCUUACCAUUUUUUUUUCUUAUUUUAAUUUUUGUUGCCUGUUUUUUCCUUGCCAUCUUCUCUCUUUACAGUUUGCAAGUAACUCAAAGGAACAGUUAUUCUAGCUAUUAAUUAAAAAAUAAAUGUCAGCAUAUAUAGUGGUCUGAUGAAAUAAAGUGACAAAAAUCUUCAUAGGUAUUUAAUUGAAAGACAAGAAAAUAUUGCUUUCUUUUUCAUUAGUAUAUUGUACAUAAUAUGAAGAAUAUGCAUAACAUUUACUUACUUCAACACAAUGACAAGCAGUCCAAAAAAGAUCUUCCUGGACAAGAUCACAACUGAUCUGGGUCAGUUUAAAGACUCUUGAAGUCUAUGUCUAUGGAGAUUCUCAGCCAUCCAGGUUACAGUUAUCUCAAAGGUGCUUUUUUCAUGAGGCAGCUGGACUUGUGAUGAGAAGCAAGAAAUCUUCAAAGAAAAACAAGAAAAUCCAGUUGCUUCUUUCAAAAAGCACCUUUGAGACUACUAGAGUCCAUGUGCUCUUAGGCAGGAAUGCCCUGUAUUUACUAUCCUUUUCUUAGAGUGUAGUAUAGGGCACCAUGAAAAUGUUUUGAAAGGGGGUAUAUUCCCUAAACUAGUCCAUCAAUAUUCUUAUAUUUGCAUUUUGGACAUCUGAAACGUCUAACUGACUGAAUAAAAUAAGCCCACAAAAAAAGACCCCUCAGAAGUCAUUUUCAUCAAAUGGGGAAUCUUACUUUACACCUUGCAUUCCCAUUGUGAAGUAGAGCUUGACGUCAACAUGUGCUGGAUGAUAGCUGGCAAUGAUAUAUGAGGGAAAGCAUUGUUUCCAUUGUACCAUUUUUGGACAUUUCUGCUGGCAUGAAGAAAUUCUCUCAAUCCAUAUGUUAGGUCAUUGUUAUACAUAACAACUGAAAGUGAGCUCAGUGUGACAACCAAAUUAGUAUGAACAUAGUAGAUUGAAGCAACUAAAAAAGACAUGCGCUAGAAAGGACCUGCACACUCACACUCACACAUACAUAUACACAUGUCUACUCUGAAGAGACAUGCAGCACUAGGACAUUUUGAUGUGUAUUUUUUACUAUAGCAAAAUCUCAAUUUCCAAAUCCGGUAAUUAUAUUUUUUUUAACUCAAGAGUGGGGAGUUUUGUCACAUCUCAGAUGUUCCUGAAUUAAUUCCUAAGCUCUCUCUCAAGAUGGCCAGCCAAAGUUCCUGGGAGUUUGAAGUUCAGCAACAUCUGGAGCACUGCUACACACCAGAACAUCAAAACAUCUAGAUAGCAGGAUUACUUAUUUGGGGAUCAACAGAAUACAAGUGUUAUACCAACAGCUCUACUUUGUUCAUUCAGAAUCACCAUCAUGGAUAUGUCAUAGUUAUGCUGUUCAUGAAAAUGAAGCAAAGAUGAAGAAAAUGGGUGAGAGUACUUAUGCACUUCUGCUUCCAGCUGUCAUCAAGCAUAAAACAUAACAUUUUCCUUCUCUUCUGUUUUUCCUUAAAUGAUGGAAUAUACUCAGAGCGCACAGAAAGCUGAUCCCAAACCUAUUUUUCAAGCUGUUUCCCCCCCUCUUCUUAACCUAACAGGUGAUAUGUCUUUGGUGUCCAUAUGCCAUUGCUUCAGGCAAAAAAGAAAAAAAAAAGUUGUAAAUUUCUCCUUCAUUCUCAAUCGACAUUGCUCCAGCUACCAAAUGAAAAUGCUUCAAUGGCUAGACAGAUUGCUAAUGUUGCCAAUCCUAAAAAGAAAAGAAAGAAAAGGAAGAAAAAAACAUUCCCAGGACAGGAUCAAGUGAGCAUUCUCUCACUGUGAAGGCUUGCAAUGACUCCAACAAACAAUAAUUUAACCUUCAUCUCAGGCUACAAACAAAUUAAAGGACUCUCAAAAAGAGUCACCCUAAGAAAAGACAGUUCAGAAUUAACUCAAAAGAGAAGGAUCACCACAAAGAUGUAUAUAGACCAAAUGACUCCAGGUAAAUGUUAGUUCUUUGAGAUAGUCUAGACAAGAAGUACAAAUCAUGAAUACUAAAACUACACUUAUUGUAAGACUCUUGCAAGUCUGAAAGCAUUUCUCUCCUCCUUUAUUUUUAAUUUUCAGAAAACUAGGGAAGGUCCCUUCUGAAAAUUUUCCCAUGCUCCUUUUUUUUCGGUGGGCUAAGAUAUCUUUUGCAUGAUGGUUGUUUAGCCUGUGACACUUCCUCCUCCCUCCCAAGGUCAUUCCCACAUGCCAUUACACUAAGCCAAUCACAGGCCCUCCCGGCUCCGAAAAUUGGGCCACGCCCAAAUUCUCACCUGCUGCUCUCUGCUGGGGCCGAGGGACCUGGGAAGGCUCC